UACAGAGGUCUCGAGCGUUAGGCGGAAUCACUGGGCUUAAAGCGUGUGUAGGUGGAUGCCUAAGUACCUUGUGAAAUCCCACAGCUUAACUGUGGAACUGCUUGGUAUACUGGGUGUCUUGAGUCACUCAGGGGCGAGCGGAACAAAUGGUGGAGCGGUGAAAUGCGUAGAUAUCAUUUGGAACGCCAAUGGUGAAAACAGCUCGCUGGGGGUGCACUGACGCUGAGGUGCGAAAGCGUGGGGAGCAAACAGG
rnacentral:rRNA from 1 species